AAGUGUUACAGCUCUUUUAGAAUUUGUCUAGCAGGCUUUCCGGUUUGUGCUGGAAAGACCCCC
rnacentral:snRNA from 1 species